AUGCCGUGUCGUCCGCGGCCGAGGGAGCAGCCCCGGGCGGGGCUCAGGGCUCAGUGCCCGGCCCGCCGCCCCCACCCCCGGCCGCGCCUCGGCCGAACAAAGGCGGCGGUGGCAGCGGGGCCGCUCCGUGCGGUGCGAGCACGGCGAGGGGCGAGCCCGCACAGACCCGCGCCUGACGGCGUUGGGAGGGCCCCACGCCCCGGCCCGGCCCCACUCAGCGGCGCGUCGGGAGGAAGCGCCGGCCGCGCGGCCGCCAGCCCCUCGGCUCGCCCGCCCCCCGUCUCCUCCCCUCCGCAGCCGAUCCUCCGCCCCCUCCUCCUCCUCCUCCCGCUGGCGGCGGCGGCGGCUUUCUCGGCCCCGGCUCCCGGCUUUUCUCCGCGGCUUCGCCUCGCUCCUCAGCGGGAGGCUCCGCGCCGCGCCGCGCCGGCGAGGACGGCAGUGCUGCAAGGAGCCUCUGGGAGUUCCAGGGAGAAGAGACCAGCCUCUGUUUGGAGACCUUUGCUACGGGUCAAGACCUCCAAGCAGGUCAGGCAGACGUAGCAGGAGCUUGGAAGUUUUACAUCAAGAGCAAAUCAUUUCCUGGGAUGUUGCCACCUCGCUGAAGGAACUCGAUGCAGCCUGCAAACCACACAGGGGUUAUGCAAGCAGAAAAAAAAGAAGGUAAAAUAUUGGGAAAGGUGGCUAUUCGUAUUGUGUGUGCACAGAGAAGUUAUGGGGAUUAACCAGGUUGAACACCUUUGAGUAAGGAUAGCUACACAAAACCAGUGCAAACACUCUCCUCCACUUAGGAGGGACAGAGCUGAAGAUGUAAAACUAAAUCUCUCUCUCUGCUACUGACAGUGGCUCUUGGGAAAUUUAGAGGCUCAAGGAACUGUUGAAAUUUGGCUUUUUUCCCAAAACCCCACCGCAGAAACAGCAGUCAGCAGCACUACCACAGGGAGGAAAGCUUGGGAACACCCUCCUUACAGUAAAUGGCAUAAUUCUGUCUAUGGCUUAGUGCAGUAUUGCCAGUGCUGUCCUCUGAGCAAGGUGGAGGCUGUGUGGUCCAUAUACUAAUGCAGGGCGUACUCUCAUUUGUCCUAAUGCAAAUACCUACUUUAAUGAUUCAUCUCUGGCUUGACACGAGGUGCAGAUGUGUUUGCCUGGCUGGUGAAGUGCUUGGAUGCUGCUUCAAAGCAAAUUCCCAUUGUACAGUGGAGCCAUUGUUCAUUUUCUCUCCCAGAGAGCUGAGAAGAAAAAACUUUUCCUUCACAGAUAUUGCUCUGAAAAGCCCAGCAGUUACUCAGUUCUAAGGGAUUAUAGUAUUUGCUCUGGAGCACUGGGAACUGGCUGCAUUCAGUGCAGUAGGGAAGAGAAAUUGUACCCGAGCUGGCACCCUUAGUAGCUGAUCCUGGCAGGCAAACCCUGUGAUUCAAUGCUAUGUUAGUAAGCAGGCUCCAUGCAAGGGGGGACAGGAGAAUAAGGUAACAGCUAGAGCACAACAGCAUGCAGCCAAAGACAUUUUCUGGCCAUGAUAAUCAUCUACUAGCAUAACUACUGUGGGCAAUGUGCUUUUCUGAUCUGAAG
rnacentral:lncRNA from 1 species